rnacentral:rRNA from 1 species
AGCGAACGCUGGCGGCAGGCCUAACACAUGCAAGUCGAACGGACCUUUCGGGGUUAGUGGCGGACGGGUGAGUAACACGUGGGAACGUGCCUUUAGGUUCGGAAUAGCUCCUGGAAACGGGUGGUAAUGCCGAAUGUGCCCUUCGGGGGAAUGAUUUAUCGCCUUUAGAGCGGCCCGCGUCUGAUUAGCUUGUUGGUGAGGUAAUGGCUCACCAAGGCGACGAUCAGUAGCUGGUCUGAGAGGAUGACCAGCCACAUUGGGACUGAGACACGGCCCAAACUCCUACGGGAGGCAGCAGUGGGGAAUCUUGCGCAAUGGGCGAAAGCCUGACGCAGCCAUGCCGCGUGGAUGAUGAAGGUCUUAGGAUUGUAAAAUCCUUUCACCGGUGAAGAUAAUGACUGUAGCCGGAGAAGAAGCCCCGGCUAACUUCGUGCCAGCAGCCGCAGUAAGAC